UUGUAUUGCUAAUCGCUCUGUUCAGCGCUGUGAAGGCUCGCAGUUGUAAAUCUUACUGUUGCAAUGGUUGGCGAACAAUUUAUAUAGACCACGAAGAUGAGGUUUAUAUACCGGAAUGCAACGGAUGCAUUAAUAAUUCAUAUUCAACCUACGAUACAACGGAGAUGCCCUGCUCUACAUAUUAUACAUUCUAUAAGUGUGGGCAUCGGCAUCGUCGUCAUCUUCAUCACUGCUGAUUCUGUCAUAGCUUGUGUUUCGUGUACAAUCAGAUAUGUCGGACUAUACCCAAAGCCAUGAACUGUUUGUGAAACUGCUUAGUCUAAUAGCAUGUUUCAAAAAAAUUGAAGCCUAAAUUUCAUCGGACCAAUGGGAGAAGAAGAUACCACUGACGCUUCAGCCUUAAUGAAAAUACAAGAUAUAGUAUCUAAGAGUCUUAGGGUAUAUUAAAGUAUAAUUGAUGUAAUUACAUAGUAAAGUUUAAGCUGGUAAUGA